GACGAACGCUGGCGGCGUGCUUAACACAUGCAAGUCGAACGGAAAGGCCCUGCUUGCAGGGUAUUCGAGUGGCGAACGGGGGAGUAACACGUGGGUGAUCUGCCCUGCACUUCGGGAUAAGCCUUGGAAACUGGGUCUAAUACCGGAUAGGAGCCAUUUUUAGUGUGAUGGUUGGAACGUUUUUUCGGUUUAGGAUGAGCUCACGGCCUAUCCGGUUGUUGGUGGGGUAAUGGCCUACCAAGGCGGCGACGGGGAGCCGGCCUGAGAGGGUGGACGGGCACAUUGGGACUGAGAUACGGACCAGACUCAGACGGGAGGCAGAAGUAGGGAAUGGUGCACAAUGGGAGCAAGCCUGAUGCAGCUACGCCGCGUGGGGGAGGACGGUCUUCGGGUUGUAAACGCCUUUCGCUAGGGGCGAAGCUUUUUGUGACGGUACCUAGAGAAGAAGCACCGGCUAACUACGUG
rnacentral:rRNA from 1 species